AUUGAACGCUGGCGGCAUGCCUUACACAUGCAAGUCGAACGGUAACGCGGGGGCAACCCUGGCGACGAGUGGCGAACGGGUGAGUAAUACAUCGGAACGUGUCCUGUUGUGGGGGAUAACCCAUCGAAAGGUGAGCUAAUACCGCAUGAUCUGGAGACAGCAAAGCAGGGGACCGGUAACGGCCUUGCGCGAUUGGAGCGGCCGAUGUCCGAUUAGCUAGUUGGUGGGGUAAAGCCCACAAGGCAACGAUCGGUAGCUGGUCUGAGAGGAUGAUCAGCCACACUGGGACUGAGACACGGCCCAGACUCCUACGGGAGGCAGCAGUGGGGAAUUUUGGACAAUGGGGGCAACCCUGAUCCAGCCAUGCCGCGUGAGUGAAGAA
rnacentral:rRNA from 1 species